CCUUUGCUUCCCCUGCUAACCUGCUGAGUCUUCACCUACUCAUCACUGCUCUGACAUUCUGGCAGAAGGAACUUCGGCUCAGAAGGCUGAACUCUUGGCGCUAACCCAAGCCCUGCGGUUGGCUGGGGGCAGAGAAAAAAUUCUGGCCCUCCUAGAGGCUCCUGAAUGAACUGGGUGAGUUGGGGUACCGGGUAUCGGCUAAGAAAGCUCAGCUAUGUCGCACCGAGGUGACCUACCUAGGGUACACCCUCCGGGAAGGAAAGCGGUGGCUCAAGAAAAAGACUGUGAUGCUGAUCCCAACCCCCACCACCCCGCGCCAAGUACGUGAGUGAGUUUCUGGGGACGGUGGGCUUUUGCAGACUCUGGACUAAAGAAAAAGUCCCAUUCACCUGGACUGANNAACANCAAAAAGCCUUUGACAGCAUAAAGGCAGCCCUGCUUGCAGCCCCCGCUCUGGCUUUGCCAGAUCUGACUAAGCCUUUUACCCUAUAUUUUGAACUGGUACACGGAUGGCAGUAGCCUCAUGGUUAAAGGUAAGCGGAAGGCGGGGACAGCAGUGCAGCGGUGAACAAAAAGCAAGUGAUCUAGGCCAGCAGCCUCCCUAAAGAGACUUCAGCCCAGAAAGCUGAAUUUGUGGUUUUGAUACAAGCUUUAUAAAUGACA